ensembl:lncRNA
CUCUUUUAUUAUUAUUAUUUUUUAAUGUUUUAAUUUUUGAGAGGGACAGAGUGCUUACAGAAGAGGGACAGAGAGAGAGGGAGACACAGAAUCCGAAGCAGGCUCCAGGCUCCGAGCUGUCAGCACAGAGCCCGACGCGGGGCUGGAACUCACGAACGGCCAGAUCACCACCUGAGCCGAAGCCUGAUGCUUAACCAGCUGAGCCACCCAGGUGCCUCUGAUUUCAGAUCUUUCAUAGUUGGCAGAGAAAAACGGUGCAGAUUGCUUUCUUUGACUUGACAAUACAGUGACUAGAGAGUCAUGAGAAUAAUUUUCUAAUUUCCUGAUUGCCUUUGGAACGUAUUAAAUAGGGAAAAGCACUCUUCACCAUCCCUCUGGCAACUUCCAAGGCACAGCAUAUAUUCCUUGUUCUUUAGCUGAUUCUUUAGAAGUACGUUUAGGUAUCUUCAGGUAAGGACAACCCUGAAGGAUUUCUAUUUUCCUUUUCUGCUCCUGUUCCAGACUGCCUCAGGAGUAAUGUCCCAGGAGCUCCCGCCUCAAGCUGUGCUGCAGUUUUCUGUGUAAACAGAUUGCAGAUCUGCAUUGUCGCCUGUGCGGCACAGGUUGAGAGUCUGAUGGCAGAAACUGGUAGCUUGCGCCUUCUGGAUAUUGAUACCUGUUCUGUGGUGGAAAAAAAAUUAAAGCAGGCCCUGUUAUUCUGGCGUGACUGAGAAGCUCUCGUUUUCAGAUAUCUCAAAAGCAUGAUUUCCUUUUUUUCACAGCUAUCAGAUUCGGGGGCGCUGGCACAAAGCAUCACCAGCACCAUUAGCGAAUAGAUUAUGUCACUGCGUUCUUCGAUUCUGAGGGCCAUAGUGAACCACUGCUGCCAGCAAUCCGCAGCGCCCACAAGGCCCUCUCGCUGCGCCCCAACCGCCAAAGCGGGCGCCCGACCUCGUCAUAACCGCCCAACCGGCGCCGCCGUCCAGCGGGACCCGGUGUCCCCAGGAGAACCCGCAGCUUGGCAGGCAGCGGUUGCCUGGUCGAGGCAAGAUGUCACCGGGCUGCGGGACGACGUGGGGCCGCGAUGUCAGCAACCUGACGGCCGAGGGGGAGCCGUGCCGCACUGGGCCCUGAGCCUUUCGUGUUCCGGGUCGGCCCCUGCGUGGAUCCUCUCCUUGGUCGCGCAGUGUUCCAGCCCGAGCGGUUUACAAAAGCGUUAAAGUGGUUGAAAACAUUACUCACUCUUCUGUAUUAUUGCCCUACAUUUUCCAAAAUUGUCAAGGUCAUCAAAGUUAAGGAAAGUAGGAGGGGGAAAAAAAAAAGUUAAAAGAAAAAAGAAAUACACGAGUACUGGGUGUAAGGUAUGAUCCUGGAUUAAAUUCUUUGAAUAUAAAGGAAUUGGGAAGGAUAACUGGCAUCUGGGCAGGGGGUCUCUGAGUGAUGGGCAUAUGUGAUUUUUUUUUCUACUAUUCUUUUAACUUUUCUAUAUUUGAAGAUUAUCUCAGAAUUAUUCUAAAAUAUUAAUGCCCUUCUCAGCCUCCACAAAGGCAUCUGAUUUCAUUAAUCUGGCAUAGAACAAGGAAGCCUCUUUUUUUUUUUAAUUUUUAAAAUGUUUUAUUUAUUUUUGAUAUAGAGAGACAGAGCAUGAGAGGGGGAGGGGCAGAGAGAGAAGGAGACGCAGAACCGGAAGCAGGCUCCAGGCUCCAGGCUCCAGGCUCUGAGCUAGGGGUCAGCACAGAGCCUGUUGCGGGGCUCAAACCCACGAACAUGAGAUCAGACCUGAGUCGAAGUCGGAGGCUUAACUGACUGAGCCACCCAGGUGCCCCAAGGCAGCCUCUUUUAAAAGAAGGAGAAGGAGAAGGAGAAGGUCUCUCUGUCUAUUUAGUAAU